UGGGGAAUAUUGCACAAUGGGCGAAAGCCUGAUGCAGCAACGCCGCGUGAGCGAUGAAGGCCUUCGGGUCGUAAAGCUCUGUCCUUAGGGAAGAUAAUGACGGUACCUUUGGAGGAAGCCCCGGCUAACUCCGUGCCAGCAGCCGCGGUAAUACGGAGGGGGCGAGCGUUAUCCGGAAUCAUUGGGCGUAAAGGGUGCGUAGGCGGUCUUUUAAGCGCGAGGUUUAAGGCUACGGCUUAACCGUAGUUCGCCUUGCGAACUGGAGGACUUGAGUGCUGGAGAGGAAAGCGGAAUUCCUAGUGUAGCGGUGAAAUGCGUAGAUAUUAGGAGGAACACCAGUGGCGAAGGCGGCUUUCUGGACAGUAACUGACGCUGAGGCACGAAAGCGUGGGGAGCAAACAGG
rnacentral:rRNA from 2 species